rnacentral:rRNA from 1 species
GACGAAGGAUGCAAGCGUUAUCCGGAUUUACUGGGUUUAAAGGGUGUGUAGGCGGGCUUUUAAGUCAGUGGUGAAAUCUCCGGGCUCAACCUGGAAACUGCCAUUGAUACUAUUAGUCUUGAAUUCUGUUGAGGUAGGCGGAAUAAGUCAUGUAGCGGUGAAAUGCAUAGAUAUGACUUAGAACACCAAUUGCGAAGGCAGCUUACUAAGCAGAUAUUGACGCUGAGGCACGAAAGCGUGGGGAUCAAACAGG